UGUAGAUGACAUUUUUCUUUCUUUAUCUUGCCAGUGAAGUUGGACGAUAUUUUGUAGGUGAACUUUCUGAAUUUACGAUCAUUGUAGAGUAGAUAGUUGCCUAAGGUUGUUUUAGUUGGGGGUGGAAAUGGGGACAAGCUCCCACUACCUAUUAUAUGCUCCCAGUGGCAUGCACCUCAAAUAGUCUCUGACAACCAAGUCCAGUUCCUGGCCUUUACGUGUGGUUUGGCUACUAAGACCAGCAGAACUGUGUCUACUGACAGGAGAAGGGGCAAGGGCAGGUUACUGGCACCUUCAAACCAGUCGCUUUGGGCAGAUAAGGCUCAUCAACCAUGGCUGGCAGCUCAUCUAGGAGAAGAAACCACUGCCUUGAGUAAACCCUAAGGAAAAAUCCGGAGCUGGCAGUCCUGAAGAAAUUGAAGGCCUCCAUGUGCAUUUAAACAUACAGUGAAAUGAGUCGUUUGUGUCACGACCAACACGGUUUGAGGUAGUGCUGGGGGCAGCCUGCAAGUAUUGCCAUGCUUCCUGUGCCAAUUAGCAUGUGCCAAACUUACUAACCAUACAUGUUUGGUCUGUGGAGGAAACUGGAGCACCCAGAGAAAAUCCAAACGGUCACGGGGAGAGCGUACAAACUCCUUACAGACAGCGGCAGGAAAUGAAUCCCGAUCAAAGUUCUUUUGAAGACCCUGACCUGGAGUUACACACAGGCUACGGUUCUCUGCAGGAAUGGGACCUGCUCUCGGGUUUCCAUAACUGGUCGUUGUUUGGCACACCAAAGGCUCAGCCUGAGAGUCCAACUCUGGAGAUGGACGGAUCGAGGGUUGGUGUCAUGACAGGAGACCCGUGUGUCGUCGGUGGAGUCGGGUUAUCUGCGACUGUGUGCCUGGAAUCUUUGCGAUCUUCGGGCACAGAGCUCGAAAAAAGCAACGUAACGGACUUUUAACAUUGUAAACCAGCGAGUUGUUUGUUAUGUCUCCCCUCUCACUGUGAAAUGGAGACACCUCUUUCUCCCUUAUUAGGGAGAGAGAGAGCCUACGGCAUGUCGAAUACCGAGUUAAAUGUGAAGUCUUUGGGGUAACUACAAGUCUGUGUCUCUGCUGUUGCUUUGCUCACACUUGAGUGUUCGGUGGCAGUACCAAUACUUUUUUUUGCCGGUGGGGGAGGGGGGAUUGUUACUCGCUGCUGCUUACGCGCGGCUGGGGGGACUUUGGGGUUCUAACAUUUAACUGUCAUUCAUUCUUUGGGGGCACUCCUCUGUUUUUGUGGAUGGUUGCAAAGAAAAAGCAUUUCAGGAUGUAUAUUGUAUACAUUUCUCUGACAUUAAAUUGGACCUUUGAACCUCUCCAUGUUAUUACUAUAUGGGAGGUGGUAUAGGAGUCAACACUUCAGGAAAAGUACUUUUCCCCUUUGUCAUCAGAUUUCUGAAUGAUCCAUGAAACCACGAACACUACCUCAUUAUUUGUCUUUUGCUCUAGUUAUGUAUUUCUGUAACUUAUAGCCAAACAAAUUUCACGACAUAUGAAAGGAUUAAAAUUGAUUCUGAUUCAUGGUGGUGAAUGGGUACCAGUCACUACAAAAUGCGGGAGGAACUCAGCAGGUUAGGCAGCAUCUAUGGAGCGGAAUAAACAGUUGAUGUAUGAGGCUGAGACCCUCCAUCAGUCCAUCCAAAUGCCUCAGAAUGACAGGGCGAUAAAGGUACCACAAAUUAGGCAGAGUGGGUAAUGUAACCGACAGUGAGCACCAUCUUAGCUACCAGUUCAUACCACCUGCCUUCAUCAAACAGAAUGGGCAAUGAUUAUCCAGACCAAGUUGGAAGUUUAUAAAAAUCACCUGUUAAAAAUUUCCUCAAGGUAUUUCAUCACAUCCAAACUGAUGCUUGUACAAGCUCCCCACUGUCUUCCCAAUAAUUAAUGUUUACUCUUUAGACUGUACAUUGUUUAAGCUUCUCUGAGAAUUGUCACCUUGGUGGUGUAAAGGAUUGUGAAUUCAUGAGGUCUCGAGAGCUAUGCCGUCUGGAGUUUAGCCAUCUGGCUCUUAGCUCCUGGUAGGGUCACCCAUGGCAGUAAGGCCAAGGGGUUGUUUCCAGACAAAGAACAGUCCAACCAAGAUCUCAGUGGUGGAGCUGGUGGAAGAUGACGACACAUCACAGUAGCAGUGAAGAUGAAGGAAGGCUGCAGCAGUGAAGGGUUCCAUGCCCCUGGACCCUGACUCUGAUCUGUCAAGGACUAUGUGUGCGGUGGCUGCCCAUGCAUCAGCCUCCCCAUGUUAAACAAAGUCACACACAGGCGUUCUCUACAAAGGGAAUAACCCCUUGGGAGAACAUCAUACAUGACUUGAGUAAUUGCACUACACUAUUAAAUUAUUUAAGAAACGAUGGGGUAAAGAGAACUUUGGUGCAAUGGAACCACAAUGCUGAAAAGAUGUGCACUUAUGUAGCACCUUCAUAAUCUCAAACUCCAACAUGGACAGUCCCAAGCCCGGCUGCAAAAGGAGGAGAGUUGGGCAUGGGCUAGCAACCCUGUCCCAUGAAUACCCAAAACUACAGAAACACUAACAGAAAUUGCGAAGACCUCAUCCCCGGGACAGGAAGAAUUUUCAAAGAUGUACUACCCCGGGACAACUUGAAAGACGGGUCCAGGACAGAGGACUCUGGUGAGCUAUCAGUGGGCUAUACUCCAGUAGGGGUGAUGGAUUUAAAUAAGUAAAUUCAUCAUCUCAGAUAAUGUCAAAGACAGUGAAUAAGACCUGUGAAGUACUUCAUGUAAUUACUUAUCUGGGAAAACAGCAGCCAAUUUGAGCCACAAACAUGAUAAUGAUCACAAUCUAUUUUCAGGAUGUUAAUUAAGGGAUAAAUAUUAAUCACACAGAUUGAAAUGCUGGAUCUCAAAGCAUGCAAGUGAAUGGUUGGUAAUUAAAUAAAACUAGCUAACUCAUGACAAGAAAUACAAACAAAAACAAAUCCCAAGUAAUAUUAAAGUCUUGAAUGAGAUUAUCUUCAAAAUUAUAAACAUUAAUUUGCUUACUUAACCGAACUCCCUAAUUAUUUCCCACAGAACAGGAAAAAAAUAUCAUCCUCAAUUUGGAAAAUUUGGAAGUCUGUUAACUUUGGUC